rnacentral:rRNA from 1 species
CCUACGGGAGGCAGCAGUGAGGAAUAUUGGUCAAUGGACGAGAGUCUGAACCAGCCAAGUAGCGUGAAGGAUGACUGCCCUAUGGGUUGUAAACUUCUUUUAUAUGGGAAUAAAAUGUUCCACGUGUGGGCUUUUGUAUGUACCAUAUGAAUAAGGAUCGGCUAACUCCGUGCCAGCAGCCGCGGUAAUACGGAGGAUCCGAGCGUUAUCCGGAUUUAUUGGGUUUAAAGGGAGCGUAGGUGGAUUGUUAAGUCAGUUGUGAAAGUUUGCGGCUCAACCGUAAAAUUGCAGUUGAAACUGGCAGUCUUGAGUACAGGAGAGGUAGGCGGAAUUCGUGGUGUAGCGGUGAAAUGCUUAGAUAUCACGAAGAACUCCGAUUGCGAAGGCAGCUCACUGGACUGCAACUGACACUGAGGCUCGAAAGUGUGGGUAUCAAACAGGAUUAGAUACCCCAGUAGUC